rnacentral:rRNA from 1 species
CAGUAGCCACGGGAAUACGUAGGGUGCGAGCGUUAAUCGGAAUUACUGGGCGUAAAGCGUGCGCAGGCGGUGAUGUAAGACAGUUGUGAAAUCCCCGGGCUCAACCUGGGAACUGCACCUGUGACUGCAUCGCUGGAGUGCGGCAGAGGGGGAUGGAAUUCCGCGUGUAGCAGUGAAAUGCGUAGAUAUGCGGAGGAGCACCGAUGGCGAAGGCAAUCCCCUGGGCCUGCACUGACGCUCAUGCACGAAAGCGUGGGGAGCAAACAGGAUUAGAUACCCGUGUAGUCCCUGUCUCUUAUAC